CCCAGGUCAGGCGGGAUUACC
rnacentral:ncRNA from 7 species